rnacentral:lncRNA from 1 species
CUCAGCUUACUGCAAACUCUGCCUCCCAGGUUCAAGUGAUUCUCCUGCUUCUGCCUCCCGAGUAGCUGGGAUCACAGGCAUAAGCCACCACAUCUGGCUAAUUUUUCUAUUUUUAGUAGAGAUGGGAUUUUGCCAUGUUGGCUAGACUGAUCUUGAACUCCUGACCUCAGGUGGUCUGCCUGUCUUGGCCUCCCAAAGUGCUGGGAUUACAGGCGUGAGCCACCGCACCUGGCCCAUUUUCCAAUAUAAUUUAAAAAGAAAUAGCUGGACUCAGUGGCUCAUGCCUGCAAUCUCAGUACUUUGAGAGGCUGAGAUGGGAGGAUCACUUGAGGCCAGGAGUUUGACACCAGUCUGGGCAACAUAACAAGACUCUUUCUCUACAAAAAAAUAAAAAAUAAAAAAAAUAGCCAGCACAGUGGUAUUCCCAGCUACUUGGGAGGCAGUGGCAGAAGGAUCCCUACGGCCCAGGAGUUUGAGGCUACAGUGAGCCUAUUGCACCGCUAUACUCCAGGGUAGGUGGCAGAAUGAGACCCUGCCUCUAAAAAAUAUUUUAAAAAGAAAAAAGAAAUAAAGCUGUUUUACAUAAAUUAAGGAGAUGGCAUGGUGUAUCGCAUUUAGGGAUCAGUGCAGUUUUUGGAAGUGAAGAGGCUGAUGUUUUAAAACCAGCCAAUGAGAACUGGCUCCCACCCCCUGUAAAAUAGUCAUGUUAUCCAUAUACUUAUUAAAAUGAAGUUAUUAUUGCCAUAAGAAUUUUUGUUCUGACUCUUCUUCUGUGUUCUACCUUUAGGAAUAUUCCUGAUUUCCACUGGAUGACUUUGACUGGUAUGAUUUCAUUCUCUGAAAGUGUUAACCAGGGUGCAGCAUGGCCAGAAACCAUUCCGAGCCUCAUGAAGUGGGCAAGUCAGGUUUGGUCAUUUUUGUUCUACUGGCUUUGAAGAAGCAAGCUGCUAUGAUGUAAACUGACUAUGGAGAAGGCCACGUGACAGGGAAUUGGGUGUAGACUCUAGGAACUGAGGUCUUAAUCCUACAACUGCAAGGGGAUUAAAGUCUACCAACAACCACCUGGGCUUGGAAGAGGACCGCUGAUCUCCAGAUGAGAACGGAGCCUGACCAACACCUUGAGUGCCACCUUGUGAGACUCUGAGCAAAGACCCAGCUAAGCCACACUUAGACUCUUGACGUACAGAAAAUGUGAGAUAAGGAAUGUGUGUUUUCUGUAGCCAAUGAUAUUUUGAUAAUCUGUUUUGUGGCAAUAGAACGUUGAUACAAUAAGCUUGUCAACUUCUAAAAAAAAUACUGUUGGAAUUUCUAUUGUGAUUGUAUUGAAUAGAUCAUGUUGGGGAAAAUACAAUAUUUUACAAAAUCAAGCUUCCAGUUCAUGAACAUAAAAUAUCGCUCUGUUUAUAUUCUUUUAUAUUUUUCUCAAUGAUAUAUUUUAAUCUUGGAUGUGGAGAUCUUCCACAUUUUUGUUUGGCUUAUUACUAGGCUUUUGAUAUAUAAUUUUAUUUGAUGUUUGUUGUAAUGGUUUUAAUUAUAUUUGUAGAUGGUAUGUAAAAAUACAUAUUUUAAAUAUAUUGCUCUUAUAUCCAGCAACCAUGCUAAACCCACUUAUUGUAUUAAUUUGUACUUUCUUUUUUUUAAAUAUCCACAACUUGUACUUCACUUCCAAAUCCUCUUUUAUUUAUUUUUUUGACUUAAUUCUUAAUUUCAAAAGCAAGCCUUACAAUAGUUUAUCUUUGAGAUCCAGUUUCUCUACCAUACUUUGUUGAAACUUGGGCAGCAAUCUUCAAUACUUUUUUUUGGUGAGUCUAUUAAAAGCACUUCUCAGUCUUCCUAACCGGAAUUGGUAUAUAUCCCCAGGUGAAAAAGGUAACCCCAAAUUCUAGGCCUCCUGGGCCUCCAUUUCUCAUUGAUCAUGGAGUGUUAAUUCUUCUGUAUUUUGUUAGUUCUGUAUUUCCUUAGAGUAUUUUUUUUAUUUUUAAUAUCUUAUCUAGUUUUUCUAGUUAUCAUGGGGAAAUGACAGUUCAAAUAAUCUAUCAUACCCUUAUCAAAAGUGGAAGUGCUACAAUAAUUUUUUAGCCAUUUUAUGGAGGUAUAAUUUACAUAAUUUACAAACCAAAGCAUCCAAUGAUUAUAAGUGUACAAUUCAAUGAGUUUUAGUUUUAUGUAUAAAUGUAUAGAGUCAUGCAACAGUGGCCACAAUCCAGGUUUAGAAUAUUUCCAUCACUCCCAAAGGUUUCUUCAUGACUUGUAGUUGGUUUCCAUUCUCAGCACUCAGUCCCAGGUAACCAUUGAUCUGCUAUCUAUCGGUAUAGGUUGACAUUUUCUAGAAAGUCCAUAUAAAUGGAGUCAUACAAUCUGUGGUCUUUUGUGUCUAGUUUUUUAACUUAGCAUAAUGUGUUGAGUUUCAUCUGUGUAAUUAAUUCCAUGUAAUGAUUUAUAGUUUUCAGUGUACAAGUUUUUAGUUGUAAUUUUGUAGUUUCCAUAUAUAAAUCUUUUGUUUAUUCCUAAGUAUUUGUUUUGAUACUAAUGCGAAUUUUUUUUCCUUAAUUUUGUUUUUUGGAUUGUCUAUUGCUAGUCUAUAGACGUACAAUUGGUUUUUGCAUAUUGAUCUUGUUAUCUGUGACUUUGGUGAAUUCUCUCAGUAGUUCCAGUAGCUUUUUAUGAUCUGUAGAAAUGAAUAGAAAUUUACUUCUUUUUCAAUAUAUAUCUGACCCUUGAACAAUGUGGGAAUCAGGGGCACUGACUUCUCUGCAUAGUUGAAAAUAUGCAUAGAACUUUUGACUGCCCCAAAACUUAACACUAGUACCCUACUGUUGACUGGAAACCUUACCAAUAACAUAAACAGUUGAUUAACACAUAUUUUAUAUAUAUAUAUAAUUUACUGCAUUCUUAUAAGAAAAUAAGCUAGAGAAAAUAAAAUGUUAUUGAGAAAAUCAUAAGAAAGAGAAAAUAUAUUUACUAUUCAUUAAAUGGAAGUAGAUUCAUCAUGAAGGUUUUUAUCCUUGUUGUCUUCACGCUGAGUAGGCAGAAGAGGAGAAGGAAGAGGAGAGGUUGUUCCUCUCAGGGGUGGCAGAUGUGGAAGAAAAUUCAUGUGUAAGUAGACUUAUGCAGUUCAAGCUUGUGUUGUUCAAGGGUCAACUAUGUAUGUCUUUGAUUUUUUUUCUUGCUUUAUUGCAUUGACUUGGUCCUCCGCUGCAAUGGUGAAUGGAAAAGGUACAACCAGGUAUCCUUGCCCUAUUCCUGAUCUUAAGGGGAAAUAAUACAGUCUUUAAAAUCAGUCAUGUUGAUAGCUGUAGGUUUUUCAUAGGUUUCCCCAACUUUAUCAGGUUGGGGAAGUUCCCUUUUAGUCCUGGUUUGCAGAAAGUUAUUAUUUUAAAUGGGUGUGGAUUUUGAAAAUUGAGAAAAUCAUGUGAGCUUUUGGUCCUUUAUUAAUAUUGUGUAUUACAUUAAUUGAUUUUUAGAUGUGAAACUAAACUGUGUUCCUGAGAUAAAUAUCACUUGUAAUGUUAUAUAAUAAUCUUUUUUUAAAAAACUGUAGCCGUGUUCAAUUUUUUAAUAUUUUGUUAAGGAUUUUUUUUUUCUAUCUUCAUGAGAAAUAUUGAUCUUUUGUUUUCCUUUGUUGUGAUGCCUUUUUCUGGCUUUGACAUCAGGAUAAUACCAGCCUUAUAGAACGACUUGGGAAAUGUUUCCCUCUCCUCUGUUUUCUGAAAGAGUUUGUGUAGGCUUAAUAUUAUUUCCUUAAUAUUGAUAGAAUUCAUUAGUGUAGCCAUCUGGGCCUGCGCUGUUUUGUGAGAAGAUUUUUUAACUAUUAAAUAUAUUUCUUUACUUGUAGUUUUAUUCAUGUUUCUAUUUCUUUCUGUGUCAGUUUUGGUGAUUUGUGACUUUCAUUUUAUCUGAGUUGUCUAACUUUGUUGGCCUAAAGUUAAUCAUAGUCUCUCUUUAUGAUCUUUUUAAUUUUUGUAGGUUUGGUAGUGAUAACACCUUCUUCAUUCCUAAUUUUGGUAAUUUUUGUAUUCUUUCUUUUUAGGCUCACCCAUCUAGCUAAAAGUUUAUCAAUUUUGCUAAUCUUUUCGAAAAACUAAAUUUUAAUUUUAUUUUCUCUAUUAUUUUCCUAUUUUCAUUUUCAUUGAUUUCUGUUCUAAUAUCUCUUUUUUCUUCUACUUGAUUUGUGUUUAAUUUGCUUGUGUUUUCUAGUUUUUUUUUUUUAAGGUGGAAGCUUAGAGUCUUGAGAUUUUUGUUCUUUUCUAAUGUGAGCUUUUAAUGUUAUAAAUUUACCACAAGGUGCACUUUUUAAUAACUUUAUUGAAACAUAAUUGUCAUAUAAUAAGCUGCACAUAUUUAAAAUGUACAAACUAAUAUUUAAUACAUUUUGACAUACGUACAUGUGCAAGAAUUUACACUGAAAAUAAUAUACACAUCUGUCUUCUCCAAAGGUUUCCUUGUGCCCUAUGUAAUCAUCUGCAAUCCCGCAACCCUUCCCUGAUGCACUAAUAAUUCUUAUGUUUUGUUGUCAUUCUCAUUCUGUUCAAAAUAUUUUCUAAUUACUUUUGUAAUUUCCUUUUUUCAGCCACUGGUUGUUUAGAAGUAUGUUUUUAAAUUUCCAAAUUUUCAAAAUUCUUUAUGUUUUUAAUUUCUAAUUUAAUUUCAUUGGAGGCAGAGAAUAUAAUUUAAAGGAUUCAGAUCAUUUUAAAUUCAUCAAGACUUUUUCAUGGCCUAGACAUUAUUCAUUCUGGAGAAUGCUCUUUAUACACUUGAGAGGACUAUAUUCUUCUGUUGGAGUGUUCUAUACAUGUCAGUUAGGUCAGUAGGGUUGAUAGUGGUUUAUAUAUUUAUAUACUUACUAAUAUCUUUAUAUGUGUAAAAUUUAUGUAUUUAUAUUUUUACUAAUUUUAUCUAUUGUUUACAGUGGCUUAUUGAAAUCUUCAACUAUAAUAAUUGACUUAUCUAUUUCUCUUUUAAUUCUGCCAGAUUUUGCUUAUUGAAUUUUGAAGUCUAUUAUUAGAUUCAUAAUACACAUAUUAUUAUACAUAUUAUUAGAUUCAUAAUGCACAUUGACAACACUCAUUCCAUCUUGAUGUAUUAAGGCUUUAUUAAUAUGAAAUAUUUCUUUUUAUCUCUAGAAAAAUUUCUGGUCUCAAAACCAACUUUGCUUGAUAUUAAUGUAGCCACUCUAGUUAUCUUAUUGUUAAUGCCUGUAUGUUAUAUCUAUUUUUGUCUUUUCACUUUGAUUUAUUUGUCUUUGAGUCUACAACGUGUCUCUUAUUGAUAAAAUAUAAUUGGAUUUUGCUUUUUUAUCCUUCAGAUAAUCUUUGCCUUUUGUUUAGAGAGGUUAGUUCUUCAGUACUUAAUAUAAUUAUUGAUAUAGUUACAUCUGCCAUUUUGCUAUUUGUUUUCAAUAUGUCUCACUUUUUUUUAAUUCCUGUCCCUCCUUUUUUUUGCCCUUUUCUGUGUUAAACAAAAAUUUUUCAUGUACCAUUUUAAUUCCUCUGUUUUUCUAAUGAUGUAUUUUUAAACUUUUUUCAAAUACUUUUUGCUUUGUAGGUUUAAAAUAUAUCUGUUGAGGUAUCACAAUUUUCUUCAGGUUAGUACUGACCUAAUUCUAGCAAAAUAGGCCACUUUGCUAUAGUAUAGUUCCAUUUCUUCUCUCUGUUUUGUGGCGUUAUUGUCGUAUAUAUUUUAGCUAUAUGUGUUAGAAGCUAAAAAAUACAGUGUUCUAAUUCCUUUUUGAAAUCUUAUAUUUCUGAAAAAAAUUAAGAGUAGAAAAAAGCAGAAUAUAUAUUUAAUCAUUCUUUUAUAGUUAAUGAUAUAUUUACCAUUUUUAAACUUUUCAUUUCUUCCUGUUGAUUCAAGUUACUAUCUGGUGACAUUUCCUUUCAACCUGAAAAAUGUCCUACAGCAUUUCUUGCAAGAUUGGUUGGCUACUAACAAACUUUCUCAAUGUUUACCUAGGAGCAUCUUUCCCUUCAUUUUUGAAUAAUUUUUUUUGAUACAGAAUUCUUGGUUAACAGUUUUAUACCCACCACAGCCCCAGCACAUUGAAAAUGUUAUUUUACUGCCUUAUGGACUCCAUUGUUUCUGAUGCAGAGUCUGCUGUUAAUUAUUGUUGUUACUCCCCUCUACACAAUAAGUUGUUUUACUCUUGCUACUUGCAAGAUUUUCUGAUUGUUUUUGUUAGCUCUCAGCAGGCUGAUUAUACUGUAUUUAUCCUACAUUUGGUUUGAGCUUCUUGGUUCUGUAAAUUGUUUUCAUCCAGUUUGGGAAGUUUUUGGCUACUAUUCCUUUGAAUAUUCAAUUUAUAUACCUUUCUCUCUCUUCUCAAGUUCUAGAACUCCCACUUUACAUGUGUUGUCAUUCUUGAUGUUGUCUCACUUGAUGUCUCUGUUUUUUUUUAAUCUUUUCUCCAUUUUUCAGGUUAGAUAAGUUUUAUUUAUGAUUUUUCAGUUUACUGAUUCUUUAUUCUGCCGUCUUAAAUCUGAUGUUGAACUCUUCUAGUGAAUUUUCAUUUCGUCAUUGUAUUUUUCAUCUAUAAUUUUUAUUUAGUUUAUUUUUAUAGUUUAUAUUUCUCUAUUUUGGUUCUUGGUAUGAGUCAUUGUUAUUAUAUUUUCCUUUCAUUAUUUUUUAGAUUUUUAAAAUUGAGGUGAAAUUCACUAUUUUAAAGUGUGCAUAAAAUUAACUAUUUAAAAGUGUACAAUGCAGUGGCAUUUAGGACAUCAACAACAUUUUUCUAAAACAUGUUCAUUACUCCAUAAAGAAACCUUAUACCCAUUAAGCAGUUACACCCUAUUUCUCCCUUCAUUCGGCCCCUGGUAACCACCAAUUUGUGUUCUGUACGUCUGGAUUUACCUUUUCUGGAUAUUUCAUAUAAAUGAUGUCCUAUGAUAUGUACGUUUUAUGUCUGGCUUCUUUCACUGAGCAUAAUGCUUUUGAGGUUUAUCUACAUGGUAGCGUAUAUCAAUGCUUCAUUUAUUUGCAUGGCUGGAUAAUAUUUCAUUGUAUGUCUAUACCAUGAUAUCUUUAUUCAUUCAUUUGUUGAUAAACAUUUCGCUGUUUCCACCUAUUUGCUAUUGUGAAUAGUGCUACUAUAACUAUGCAUAUAAAUGUAUUUGUUUGAGUACCUAUUUUUAAGUCUUUGGGGAAUAUAUGUACAAGUGGAAUUGCUAAGUCAUAUGAUAACUUCAUGUUUAGCUUUUGAGGAAGUGACCAACUGUUUUCCACAGUGUCUGCAUCAUAUUACAUUGCACCAAUAAUGUGGAAUAGUUUUGAUUUCUCUACAUCCUCACCAUGUUAUUUUCUGUAUGAAAUAUAAAGUUUUACCUCAUUUGUGGUUUUGAUUUCCAUUUCCCUAGUGACUAAUACUGUUGAGUGUUUUUUAUGUACUUCUUAGCCAUUUGCAUAUGUUUUUGGAGAAAGGCCUAUUCAAGUACUUUGCUCAAUUUUUAAUUGGGCAUUUAUGUUUUUCUUGUUGAGUUAUAAGAAUUCUUUAUGUAUUCUGAAUGCCUGAUUCUUAGUAGAUGUGUGCUUUGCAAAUAUUUUCUCCCAUUCUGUAGGUCAUCUUUUUGUCUUUAUCGAUAACCUCCUUGAUACAAAGUUUUUAAUUUUCAUAAAGUCUAAUUUAUCUAUUUUGCUUUCAUUGCUCAUGUUUUUGGUGUCCUAUCUAAGAAUCCAUUGCCAAAUCCAAGAUUAUGAUUAACUUCUAGGUUUUCUUCUAAGAGUUUUAGGGUUUUAUCUCUUACAUUUAGGUUGCUCAUCCAUUUUGAGUUCAGUUUUUGAUAGAAUGUGAAGCAGUGAUUUUUCUUUAAUUAUUUAAACAUAGUGUUCUUAAUUCUUUGAAUGUAUUUCUGGAUUCAGAGUCCAGAGUGCUCACCAUUACACCAUGGAAACAUGAAUGUAUUUCUAAUAGCUGCUUUGAACUCUCUGUCUACUAAAUCCAAAUCCAACAUCUGGGCCCACUCAACAUCAGUUUAUAUAGGUUCUCUUUUUUUCUCCCUGAGUAUAAUUUAUACUUUACCACUUCUUACAAUUUUUUGUUGAAAACUGGACAUUUAAAAUAAUAUUUUAUGCAAACUCUGGAUUGUAAAAUUUCCC